rnacentral:rRNA from 1 species
GGACUACCAGGGUUUCUAAUCCUGUUUGAUCCCCUUGCUCUCGCGCCUCAGCGUCAGUUAUUAGCUAGAGAACCGCUUUCGCCACCGGUGUUCUUCCACAUAUCUACGCAUUUCACCGCUACACGUGGAAUUCCGUUCUCUCCGCCAAUCCUCCAGAUUCGUAGUUUCAAAUGCAGUUCCGAAAUUGAGCCCCGGAAUUUCACAUCUGACUUACAAACCCGCCUACGCGCCCUUUACGCCCAAUAAUUCCGAUUAAUGCUUGCACCCUCCGUAUUACCGCGGCUGCUGGCAC